rnacentral:misc_RNA from 1 species
AUAAGAACUCUCCUCCGAUCUCUUGCUAUUCAUUAAGAUUUUUAUUUAAGAAUCGGAUAAGAACUCUCCCACGAUCUCUUUAAGCAUUUAUUAAGAUUUUUGAUUGAGAAUCGGAUAAGAAUUCUCCUCCAAUCUCUUUAAAUUUAAUUACGAUCGUACAUCGUAAGGACCUUAGACUAAGGGUUCUCUUGACUCAUUGGUACCUUAUAACUAAAAAGGGGUGCCAGCCUGAAUCUUUUCCGAUCUCCUUUGUGAUUGCCUUACCAGCACUUUUGGCAGGCGAUGUCCGAUCCUUCGCUCACUAGUCUGGGAUCCGAUCUUACCUCGGUCCCCCACUAUACCAGGUUAUCUUCUGAGCUAGCCUAGUGGUUUGAUUUCAUAAUUUUCCUCUAAUUUAUUAUCCAAACUUUUAUUAUUUUAAAGAAACUCUCGUGUUAAGAUACAGCUACCACCAUUUUAUCGAACUACCUAUACGUUACUCGUGACCAAAACACCUACAUUUGAAGUUAAUAAAGGCUAAAAAUAAAUAACAUGAACUGAUGAACAAAAAGGUAAACUCAAGAAAAUAACCACCCUCGUGGAACUCUUUAACAUGACAUAAGCUUAAAAAAAAAAAAAAAACUUGAUAAAACAACGGUUCAGACGCUCACCUGUGGGGAGUUGAAUCUAUUGAGUUAACUAUUGAGUCACAAAUAUGGUAGAGCUACGCGCUAAUAGUCUGGGGACUAAUGCUUGCCUUGAAAUAAAGAAUACCAGGUUAAAAUGCAGUUGAACCGAAGUAAUAGUAACCGGGUUGGAAUGAGAUGGAGCUUAAAAAAUAAAAGUGGAUAUGGAGAUGCUGAAGACAAAACUGAAACUAAGAGAUGGUAUCACAAAGUAAUGAACAAACUGAAAAUGAAGAGUUUCAGGGUCCAACACUCCUUCAAUAGAGAUACUUAAGAAAACUGGUUUCUGAAGUUUCUCUAUUUCGAAAGCUUAAAAUAGCAAAGUAGCAAGACUGAAUCAAAUUUCAGAGUCUUUCCAUUAUAAUCACCACCACUUUUUUUUCGUCCCUUCUACAGUAUUGUAUGCAGGUAUUUAUAGGGAAU